rnacentral:lncRNA from 10 species
GUUUUUAUUAACUCAUUUACUUCUGAUACUAAUUAAAAAUCUCUCAUAUAAGUCCAUUUAUAAGUCCAAAUAGAAUAAACAAAUGUUAAGUAUCAAUAAUAUUUAAAUUUUUUUUUUAUUCCAGACUCUGUUGGGUACAAGUGACACAGAAAGUCAUCUCAAACUAGCUGAAACACAAAAGCGCCACUUUGCUCUGCUUGUCCCACGCCCAUGGAGGGGGGACACCGUCCGGAAGUGAAGGCCAGGAAAACAGAGGGGAGAGACAGCGGGGUGGGGUGGGAGCAGUCGCUGCUGUGAACUCGCUGGAGCCCAGACUCACGCAACUAAGGGGCAGCAGUGGGAAGAGAAACGGAGGGGUGGUGGGGGAGCUGGCGCUCUGAACGCCUGUUCCUUCUGUUCAGACUAGUCUUUGUUUAUUUUGCAGCGCAGGAAGGCGGAAGGGAAGGCGGAGACCGGCAAGAGAGGGGAGAAGGCCCGGGGAAGACGCUCGGGACCAAGAUGCGGGGCCCGGGUGCGAGCAGCUGAACCUCUCGGCCCCCAGGCGUGGUGACCUGGGUGGCGACGCUCGUGGAGGCCGAGGAGCUUCUGGACCGGCGCUUCGGGGGACCAAGUGGAGAGGCUGCUGGAGUUGUCGCCUGAGUCCUCCCUUAGUUCUUCGCGCCGGCCUCGCCCACGGCUCCGGGUCCCAGCCGCCACUGCAGUCUCCGCAGCACCGAGCGGGGCUCCACCGACUCGCGACCUCCAGCCUCCGCCUCAAGGGCAGGGAGCGCGGCUGGGUCUCUGGAAAGCCAUUUUUAAAUCACUGCCUCUGCUGCCCCCAUGUGAGGUCGGAGUGUCCUCCCCCGUCUUUGCUUUCAGGUUCUUUCAGGUUCCUUUGGGCAAACCCGCAGCUAAGAGUCCAGCUUGUGAACUUGAACCUGAACUUGCUGAAGAAGCUCCCGGCGGCCCCCUGCUGUCUGCGGCCUUUGUUUGAGGGAGAGGCUGGGGUCACCCGGUUGGGCCGCAUUUCCGGGGCCGUCACCUGUCGGGCUGCCAGGCCGCGCGUACCUUGUCCCAUCGGGGGCUCUGCUCUGCCCCCUGCGCUGAUGACGCGGGUGGAAGGGAGGUAUCAGGGGCACUCUGGGGAGCUGUACCUGGCGGGCACCCCCCAGCUGCUCUCCGUGGGGUACGACACCGAGACCUGGUUGGGCUGCAAGGAGACCGACUGGGAUUCCCGGGCUGGUGGCCGGGGAGACGAAGGCGGGGGGUGAGAGGCAGGAACCCAGGAGGCCCCAGGCCCAGCGCUGUGGGGCUGCUGUUGUCGUUCUGCGUGGAGGUCUGGCCAAACUGGCUUUUGCCCCGAGUGAGGAAUUCCUGCUCUUUUUUGGUUUUGGUAAGAGGUCGCUAUUCACAGAGGGGGCGGGGUUCGUCCCCUCCAGGCGAGUACGGGGCUGGCGGGCGCAGUGCUGCCUUUCUGCUCUGUCUCUUGAUCCCGCUUAGGAUCUUUGUGGCUCCUCUGAGUCUUCUUAGAGAGGCCGUGAAAGAUGGGAAAGGCAGGUUGCUGAAACGCUGCUGCUCGGGGCUGGCAGAGACCCUGGUAUAGGGAAGGCGCACCACUGUGGGUCAGAUCAGCUGACAGUGGGGGUUUUAGGUGAUGGGGUAACCUUACAGUUCGGAUCUCUUAGAACCCAGAAGCAGGUAGGCGAUCGCUGCUUCAUCACACUUCACAGGGAGUCCUGGAUCUUUCCUGUCCGUAACCCAUGGACGCCAUGAUUCAGUAUGGCGGAGGUCCGGGGCUUAAGUUCCUGUUCAUGCUUCCUAAUCAUUCAUGGAUCCAUCACAAUGUGCUCUGAAGGGCCUCUCUUGCUGGGAUUGAGAAGGAUACAUUUUUUGAGCAGGUUUUUAUACUCAAUGGACAUGUAGAAGGGAAUAUAUUCUACUCAGUUCCCCUCCUGCAGCUCCUUGAAAUUCUGUCCAUCAAAAGCAGGGAUCUGCUGACCAGAGGUGACUGCCACAGAAGGUAUCCAGUUUGUAAAAGCUGAAUUUGUUGCUGAAGCCAGAAUUUGCAAUCUUGAUGUUUGUGUUAACAUCCAAGAGCGUGUUUUCUGCCUUUAAAUCUCUGUGGACAAUACGUUUCUGGUGACAGCUUGCACAGCAGACACUUUUGGUAGAAUUUGCUUCAGUCCUUUUUUUUUCUUUCCUGCUGCCAUGAGCAGGUAUUCACAAACUUCUCCUCCUGGCUAGUGUGCUUCAUGACAAAGCAAAGAGAUUCCUCAAUAUCGAUCACAGCAAAUGUUUCACUAUGUUGGGGUGAUCCGAGCCUUCAUGGUUCCUACUUUGUGGAUGGUGUCUGGAGGAGAUCUGCUGAGUCUCAUCAAUGAACUUCACAGCUGCUGCUUUCCCAGUUAAGAGGUCCCAGGCCAACCUUACCUUAGCCAGGUUGCCCUUGACGAUGGUCUCAAGGAUCCUAGCUGCCAGUAAGGGUCCCUUCUCAGCAGAGAUGGCUGAGAGGCCCUGUGGCAUGUGAGACUUACUGCUGGGCUUGGAGUCAAGGUGUCCCAGGUCAGCUUAAUUUCGGGAAAAACUGGUAAGACGCUUGGUUCAAAUCACUUGAAAAGAAAAUCACUUGCAUAGUUCACCUGAAGAAUGGAUCUCUAUAAUGGAAUUAAAGCACAAUGCUGGACAAAAAGUAAGAAAAAGCAACAAACUGAAAGGAAAAAUUGAGUAAAAAGAAUAAAGAACUAGAACUGGCAACCUCAGCCAAGCCAGGGAAUUACAUACAUCUUGGAAUUCCAAAGCAAUGCUUCCUUAUGAGGGCAUAGGAAGAAAUAAAUCUAAUAACAAGGCUGGGAUUAAUUCACGUGGUUUUCUCACAUUUUGGUCUCAAGAACUUUUUACUCUAAAACUAAUUAUUGAGGACCCCAAAGAGCUUUUUAUGUGGGUUAUAGUUAUCAGUAUUUACUUUAUUGGAAAUUAAAACCUGUAGGAUGUUUCAGUGGUCUUUUCUAGUUUGAAGGGUUUAAUAAUUUUUGGCUUUUAAAGAGCCCAUAAUCAAUUAAAAUAUUUUAUUUUCCUUUAAAUUGUAAAUGAUUGGUGUCAUAAUGAUGCUACAACUUAACUGGCAUUACAAUACUAUACAAAUACGUUCUAUUGUAUAAGUCACAAUAAGGUACAUUAUUAACUCUAUAACAUUUAGGGGAAGAUAGCUGUUAUCAUAUUAUUUAAAGUUUUGCCUAGUUUCUUUGUAGUAGACUUAUCUUUUCCAGGAGCCAGAGAACCCGCUAUAUCAGUUUCAGUAUCUUUAAAUGUAGAGAUUGCAGCUGUGUGUUGAGAAAGCACGUUUCACUUAGCAUGGGAUGGGGACUUCGAGGUACUGGAUAUGUCACUGGCACCUCAGGGGAGGAAACCAAGAUGCCCCUAUAUGAUUUUAAACAUGGUUUAUUAAAGCGUGAUACAGAAAAGUGCACAAAUUGUCCACCUACAGCUUGGUGACUGUUCACAAAUUGAACUCAUCUAACUAGCCUCCAGAAUAAGAAACAGGCCUUUACACACCCCCACCAGCCUCCCAAUCCCCUUUUCAGUCACCUUCUCUGCAGUGAUAACCACUAUUCUAUAUUCUGACAGCAUAGUUUCACUUGUUUUUUAACUUCACAUAAAUGGGAUCAGACAGUAUUGAAUCCUUUGUGUCUGCUUCCUUCACUCAAUAUUUUCCUGAGAUUUUUCUAUAUUGUUUAUUCUAAAUGCCCAUUGUACGACUGUAACACAAUUUGUUUAUCCAUUUUACUGUUCUUGGGCAUUUGGGUAGUUCUCACUGUGGAUGCUAAGAAGAGUGUUGCUAUAAACAUUCAGGUCUUUUGGUAAGCAUAUACCUGGCUUUCUGUUGGCUAUUUAUACCUAGAAAUAGAGUUGCUGGCUUAUAAGGUAUGCAUAUUUUUAGUUUUAGUAGACAUUGCAGUUUGUACCAAUUCACCCACCCACCAAUGUGAAUAUCUAAUAUUGCCUGCCUGUCUGUACGUGUGUACUGGUAUAGCAUUGUGGUUUUAAUUUGCAUUUUCCAGUGCCUAAUGAAAUAAAGCACCUUUUAAUAUGCUUAUUGGACAUA